UGGUGGAGUGAUUUGUCUGGUUAAUUCCGUUAACGAACGAGACCCCUGCCUGCUAAAUAGCCCGCAUAGUGCCUGUCACUGUGUUGGUGCUUCUUAGAGGGACGUGCAUUCUAUUAGAUGCAGGAAGAUAGGGGCAAUAACA
rnacentral:rRNA from 1 species